rnacentral:rRNA from 1 species
UACGUAGGGUGCAAGCGUUGCCCGGAUUUAUUGGGCGUAAAGGGCGCGUAGGCGGCUCGGCACGUCCGUUGUGAAAUCGCCCGGCUCAACUGGGCGGGGUCGGCGGAUACGGCCGAGCUGGAGCAAGCUAGGGGGUAAUGGAAUUCCCGGUGUAGUGGUGGAAUGCGCAGAUAUCAGGAAGAACACCAAUGGCGAAGGCAGCUCUCUGGGACGGUACUGACACUGAGACGCGAAAGCGUGGGGAGCGAACAGG